AUUGAACGCUGGCGGAAUGCUUUACACAUGCAAGUCGAACGGCAGCACGGACUUCGGUCUGGUGGCGAGUGGCGAACGGGUGAGUAACGUAUCGGAACGUAUCCAAUAAUGGGGGAUAACUAAUCGAAAGGUUGGCUAAUACCGCAUACGCCCUACGGGGGAAAGCAGGGGAUCUUCGGACCUUGCGUUAAUGGAGCGGCCGAUAUCUGAUUAGCUAGUUGGUGAGGUAAAAGCUCACCAAGGCGACGAUCAGUAGCUGGUCUGAGAGGACGACCAGCCACACUGGAACUGAGACACGGUCCAGACUCCUACGGGAGGCUG
rnacentral:rRNA from 1 species